rnacentral:tRNA from 2 species
GACUUGAAAAAUCCGUCGACUUUAGAAAUCGUGAGG